GAGGGUAUAGCUUAGUGGUAGAGUGUGUGCCUAGCAUGCGCAAGGUCCUGGGUUCAAUCCCCAGUCCCUCU
rnacentral:tRNA from 1 species